rnacentral:rRNA from 1 species
UACGUAGGGUGCGAGCGUUGUCCGGAAUUAUUGGGCGUAAAGGGCUCGUAGGCGGUUUGUCGCGUCGGGAGUGAAAACACCGGGCUUAACUCGGUGCUUGCUUUCGAUACGGGCAGACUAGAGGCAUGCAGGGGAGAACGGAAUUCCUGGUGUAGCGGUGAAAUGCGCAGAUAUCAGGAGGACCACCAAAAAAGGCGAAGGCAGCCAACUAUUCUAUUCCUGACACUGAGGCAUGAAAGCGUGGGGAGCAAACCGG